UUUCCAUGGAAAUAAAUAGGAGGCAUUACUUUCAGAGCAACCCAGUUCCAGGUCUGAAGAGGCUGCACCGAAACAUUGCUGUCCUACUGCUGUACACCUGGCUCACCUUGAGUUGGCUGAUGUCUCCAAGAAUGAGAGUGCUUGGAGCUGCAAUGGCUGUGUGGUCCGUCCUCUGAGCAGUGUGUCUUUGAGGCCCACAAGAGUGCAUCAAGGGCAUCUUUCUGGCAGAUCUAUGGGGAAUGCACCACAGGAAUGUCCUACUGCUCAUGCUUGCUCUCUGCAUGCAAGGCUCAGGUGGAGGUUUGUGUGUAAGGGUUACAGUUGGAAUGUGGAGGGAGUAAAUUAUCAUAAAAUUAGGGGAAAAGGGUUGCGGGAGGACUAGGAAUGUCUGGGACAGACAUACAAAGCGGGUGGGCAGUUAUUCAUAGGUCCUAAUACAAUAAUGCACGUCAUCAUGUGAUUCAGAUCUAAGUCUGACUGAUGAAUUUAGUGCAAAAUGAGGAAAUAAACUGGCAAUGCAAACAGGUAUUUAAUCAGCAUAUAAUCUCAGAAACAUGUUUGGAAGGAACACUUCAUUGGUCAUUAGGUCUGUUCCCCUGCGUCAUAUGGAAGAGUUCAAUUAUUCUAAGCCACUCCUCCCUGGAUGGAUGUCAGACAGUUGCUAUGUCCAAUGCUAUGUCCAUUUGCUGCAUUUUCCUUGUCAUAGAAACAAAAGCACUGAAAUGUAAUGUUGUUAUACUCUGCAAAAUGACAAUAAAAAUAAUUUGGGUU